rnacentral:lncRNA from 1 species
GAAAAUCAAGGUAGAGGGAUUACUCUAAUAUGGGUGUCAAUUUCAUGAAGGAUAGAGAGGGAUUUUCACCAUCCUCUAGGUUUUUUUUCUCUCUCUUUUUCCUCAUUGUUGAGUUUGUGUGUUUUGGAGAAGGUUUGUAUAAAAUCUAUCUCAAAUUAUUGUGAUAAACAUUAAUUAAUGUUUGAUUCUUACUGUUGAAAUUCAUGUACCAUUAUAUGUGAAA